rnacentral:lncRNA from 1 species
CUGUGAUGGAGAACACCUGUGAUGGAGAACAUCUAUGAUGGAGGACACCUGUGAUGGAGGACACCUGUGAUGGAGAACACCUGUGAUGGAGAACACCUGUGAUGGAGAACAUCUAUGAUGGAGGACACCCGUGAUGGAGAACACCUGUGAUGGAGAACACCUGUGAUGGAGAACACCUGUGAUGGAUGACACCUGUGAUGGAGGACACCUGUGAUGGAGAACACCUGUGAUGGAGAACAGAUCUUCUCUUCCUCUGUCACCUAACAAUAGACAACUUUUCAUGGGGCGGUAGAGAAUCAUUCUUCUGAUGUAGCCAGUACCCUAAUAUAACUAACUUUGGAGACGUAAGAAGUCUGAUCAUUUAAAGAAAAUGUAGAGGGGUUGGAGAGGUUGCCCAGUGGUCAAGAACACUUCUUGCAGAAGACCUGGCCUCAGGUCCCUGAAUCCAGGGACCCAAGGCCUUCUGACCUCCGAAGAUACCAGUAUGUGAUCUGGCAGAUGACUCCAUCUGACUCUGAAAGCUGUGCUAACCCCCCAUGGAAACAGGAAAAGAAGCCAACUGCUGCAAACAGG